rnacentral:lncRNA from 1 species
GUAGUAGUGUAUAGGCUGGUGUGGUUGUGGUAGUAGUGUAUAGUCUGGUGUGGUUGUGGUAGUAGUGUAUAGUCUGGUGUGGUUGUGGUACUAGUGUAUAGUCUGGUGUGGUUGUGGUAGUGGUGUAUAGUCUGGUGUGGUAGUGGUGUAUAGUCUGGUGUGGUUGUGGUGUAUAGUCUGGUGUGGUUGUGGUGUAUAGUCUGGUGUGGUUGUGGUAGUAGUGUAUAGUCUGUUGUGGUAGUAGUGUAUAGUCUGGUGUGGUUGUGGUAGUAGUGUAUAGUCUGGUGUGGUAGUAGUGUAUAGCCUGGUGUGGUUGUGGUAGUAGUGUAUUGUCUGGUGUGGUUGUGGUAGUAGUGUGUAGUCUGGUGUGGUUGUGGUAGUAGUGUGUAGUCUGGUGUGGUAGUAGUGUAUAGUCUGGUGUGGUUGUGGUAGUAGUGUAUUUUCUGGUGUGGUUGUGGUAGUAGUGUAUUUUCUGGUGUGGUUGUGGUAGUAGUGUGUAUAGUCUGGUGUGGUUGUGGUAGUAUUGUGUAGUCUGUUGUGGUAGUAGUGUAUUCUCUGGUGUGGUUGUGGUAGUAGUGUAUAGUCUGGUGUGGUCUUGGUAGUAGUGUAUAGUCUGGUGUGGUAGUAGUGUAUAGUCUGGUGUGGUAGUAGUGUAUAGUCUGGUGUGGUAGUAGUGUAUAGCCUGGUGUGGUUGUGGUAGUAGUGUAUAGUCUGGUGUGGUCGUGGUAGUAGUGUAUAGUCUGGUGUGGUUGUGGUAGUAGUGUAUAGUGUUGUUGUGGUAGUAGUGUAUAGUCUGGUGUGGUCGUGGUAGUAGUGUAUAGCCUGGUGUGGUUGUGGUAGUAGUGUAUAGCCUGUUGUGGUUGUGGUAGUAGUGUAUAGCCUGGUGUGGUUGUGGUAGUAGUGUAUAGUCUGGUGUGGGUGUGGUAGUAGUGUAUAGUUUGUGGUAGUAGUGUAUAGUUUGUGGUAGUAGUGUAUAGUUUGUUGUGGUAGUAGUGUAUAGUCUGGUGUGGGUGUGGUAGUAGUGUAUAGUCUGGUGUGGGUGUGGUAGUUGUGUGUAGCCUGGUGUGUUUGUGGUAGUAGUGUAUAGUCUGGUGUGGUUGUGGUAGUAGUGUAUAGUCUGGUGUGGUAGUAGUGUAUAACCUGGUGUGGUUGUGGUAGUAGUGUAUAGUCUGGUUUUGUUGUGGUAGUAGUGUAUAGUCUGGUGUGGGUGUGGUAGUAGUGUGUAGUCUGAUGUGGGUGUGGUAGUAGUGUGUAGUCUGGUGUGGGUGUGGUAGUAAUGUGUAGCCUGGUGUGGUUGUGGUAGUAGUGUAUAGUCUGGUGUGGUUGUGGUAGUAGUGUAUAGUCUGGUGUGGUUGUGGUAGUAGUGUAUAGUCUGGUGUGGUUGUGGUACUAGUGUAUAGUCUGGUGUGGUUGUGGUACUAGUGUAUAGUCUUGUGUGGUUGUGAUAGUGGUGUGUAGUCUGGUGUGGUUGUGGUAGUGGUGUAUUGUCUGGUGUGGUUGUGGUAGUGGUGUAUAGUCUGGUGUGGUAGUGGUGUAUAGUCUGGUGUGGUUGUGGUGUGUAGUCUGGUGUGGUUGUGGUGUAUAGUCUGGUGUGGUUGUGGUAGUAGUGUAUAGUCUGUUGUGGUAGUAGUGUAUAGUCUGGUGUGGUUGUGGUAGUAGUGUAUAGUGUGGUAGUAGUGUAUAGCCUGGUUUUGUUGUGGUAGUAGCGUAUAGUUUGUUGUGGUAGUAGUGUAUAGUUUGUUGUGGUAGUAGUGUAUAGCCUGGUGUGGUUGUUGUAGUAGUGUAUAGCCUGGUGUGGUUGUG